GAUGAACGCUGGCGGCGUGCUUAACACAUGCAAGUCGAACGAAGUGGCGGACGGGUGAGUAACGCGUGGGUAACCCGCCUCACACAGGGGGAUAGCAGUUGGAAACGGCUGAUAAUACCGCAUAGUGUGAGAUGGACCCGCGUCUGAUUAGCUAGUUGGCGGGGUAACGGCCCACCAAGGCAACGAUCAGUAGCCGACCUGAGAGGGUGACCGGCCACAUUGGGACUGAGACACGGCCCAGACUCCUACGGGAGGCAGCAGUGGGGAAUAUUGCACAAUGGAGGAAACUCUGAUGCAGCGACGCCGCGUGAGUGAAGAAGUAAUUCGUUAUGUAAAGCUCUAUCAGCAGGGAAGCGGUACCUGACUAAGAAGCUCCGGCUAAAUACGUGCCAGCAGCCGCGGUAAUACGUAUGGAGCAAGCGUUAUCCGGAUUUACUGGGUGUAGAGGGAGUGUAGGUGGCAUCACAAGUCAGAAGUGAAAGCCCGGGGCUCAACCCCGGGACUGCUUUUGAAACUGUGGAGCUGGAGUGCAGGAGAGGCAAGUGGAAUUCCUAGUGUAGCGGUGAAAUGCGUAGAUAUUAGGAGGAACACCAGUGGCGAAGGCGGCUUGCUGGACUGUAACUGACACUGAGGCUCGAAAGCGUGGGGAGCAAACAGGAUUAGAUACCCUGGCAGUCCACGCCGUAAACGAUGAAUACUAGGUGUCGGGCGGUGCCGCAGCAAACGCAAUAAGUAUUCCACCUGGGGAGUACGUUCGCAAGAAUGCAACUCAAAUGAAUUGACGGA
rnacentral:rRNA from 1 species